CUUGGUCAUUUAGAGGAAGUAAAAGUCGUAACAAGGUUUCCGUAGGUGAACCUGCGGAAGGAUCAUUACAAAUUUCAUGUGUUGUGUCGUGUGCAGGCGGCCGCAAGGCUUUCUGCUCACACGAACACACCAAUUUACGCUUGUUGUGUUUGACAGAUUUAUAUGUGACUUAAAAAUAGACAACUUUUAACAAUGGAUCUCUUGGCUCUUGCAACGAUGAAGAACGCAGUAAAGUGCGAUAUCUAGUGCGAUUUGCAUGAAUCUGUGAGUCAUCGAGUCUUUGAACGCAACUUGCGCCCAGCAAUGGGCAUGUCUGUUUGAGUACCGCAAAACCAUCUGUUCUCUGCGAAGAGGGCGAAUUGGGUCCGUGCGUAUGCUUGUCAUAUGCGGGGCCUGGAAUGCAGUAAGAAGGUGCCGCCGACGGAGGCCCUGCUGUGUGCUAUAAACACAAUUUUGUGUUUGGUCGCAGUGGGUGCCGCUGUCUGCGGACACAAUCUGCUAUUUUUUAUUUGGUCUCAAAUCAGGCAGGACUACCCGCUGAACUUAAGCAUAUCAAUAAGCGGAGGA
rnacentral:rRNA from 1 species